GCUGGCGGCGUGCCUAACACAUGCAAGUCGAACGCGAAAGGGGAGCAAUCCCUGAUUAGAGUGGCAAACGGGUGAGUAACACGUGGGUGACCUGCCUUCGAGUGGGGGAUAACCUUCCGAAAGGAGGGCUAAUACCGCAUGACAUACCGUGUUUGGAUACACGGAUAUCAAAGCCGGGGAUCGCAAGACCUGGCGCUUGGAGAGGGGCCCGCGUCCGAUUAGCUAGUUGGUGAGGUAACGGCUCACCAAGGCUCCGAUCGGUAUCCGGCCUGAGAGGGCGGACGGACACACUGGAACUGAGACACGGUCCAGACUCCUACGGGAGGCAGCAGUGGGGAAUUGUUCGCAAUGGGCGAAAGCCUGACGACGCAACGCCGCGUGGAGGAUGAAGAAUUUCGGUUCGUAAACUCCUUUCGACCGAGAUGAAUAUCCCGCGAUCUAAUAAGUCGCGGGACUGACAGUAUCGAGAGAAGAAGCCCCGGCUAACUCUGUGCCAGCAGCCGCGGUAAUACAGGGGGGGCAAGCGUUGUUCGGAAUUACUGGGCGUAAAGGGUUCGUAGGUGGCCACUUAAGUCAGACGUGAAAUCCCUCAGCUUAACUGGGGAACUGCGUCUGAUACUGAGUGGCUUGAGUGCAGGAGAGGAAUGCGGAAUUCCAGGUGUAGCGGUGAAAUGCGUAGAUAUCUGGAGGAACACCGGUGGCGAAGGCGGCAUUCUGGACUGUAACUGACACUGAGGAACGAAAGCCAGGGGA
rnacentral:rRNA from 1 species